CCAAAACCAUGGAUAUCUUCGUCAGUUCCCAAAUUCUUAGAAUUCCUUCCUCUCUUAUCUCUUCUCCGUCCAAAUUUUACUAACAAACUUUUAGCCCUAAAAUUCCAAACCAUCUGUAUACAUACACAGACAGAGAGCUCAAUUUCUUUUUUGAUGAAUCAAAAUGUUGUUCUACCUAAUCUCUUCAUUUACAUUAUCUUUCUCAUUUCCAUCAUUUUCUUCUCAAAGUUCCCCUAACCCUAACAUUUCCCCCAACAUUUUCAUCUUCGUUUUUCAAAUUAGCCAAAAAAACUCAAGUAAAUUAGGCUUUAAACGAAUCUAUUUUUCACUGAUUCGUCAUUAAUUCAUCAUUCUAUAGUCUCUAAUUAUUUCGUAUCCAUGGAAACUUUUUUGCAACUUAAAUUGAAGUCCUUGUUUCAGUGAUUGAUUUCAUUUUGUUUCUUCUCGCACAGAAAAUUAUCAUUUUGUUGGAAUUUGGAUAUGUUUGCUCAACUACUGAUUUGUCAGGUUGAAGAAUGUAAGUAAAUGAAGCCGAAACAAUCCAGAGAAUGGAGCUUUUAAUUCUAUCAACACUUGAAUGGAAGAUGAAUCCAGCAACUCAUAUUUCAUUGCUUGAUCACAUUAUUAGAAGAUUUGGAUUCCAAGUUUUUUCAUUACCUUCCAUCAGUUUAGUUGCGGCAGUAAUGCUAAAUGUUAUUGAUGAGGUUGAAACUGAAAACCCAAUGGAAUAUCAACACCAACUCAUGACUGCUCUUAAACUCACAAAGGAGGAUGUAAAUGAGUGUUAUUAGUUCCUAAUGAAGUGGACAUUUAGCUGCAAUGUCAAUUAAACGAAAGUAGGCUUUUAGUAGUUUUACUUAUUGUUAGUAUCCAUGUUACUGAGGAGGGAGCUGAUGAGUGUCAAGAUUUGGCAGUUUCAGGAAGAGAGAACUGUUAGAUCAGGGGCUUUUUCUGCCGUGGUGGGGUGUGAAUGUUGGCAAGUCACUUGAGAACCUCAACAAUUAGCAAGAGUCUUUACUUCAGUUUUUCAGUAUCCUCUCCUAGUAGCACUGUUAUCCUAUUUGCAGCAGUGCAUCUUGACAAAGCUACGUAUAGUUGGACAUGGCCGAAUACGUGAGUCCUCCCUCCUACGGUCGGGGCUCAACCUCGUCAUCUGAAAGACCACAGAAUUCAUCGGAACCAUCUGAUGUAAAAUCUUCAUUAGCAACUGACCUGUACACACCAACAAAUUUACACAUAUUUAGUGGUAAUUAAUAAUGAAGUGUAUAUCUGAGCAUUAUCAGUUGCUUAAAGUAUAGUGAUUGCAAAAUCAAAACAUGCUUGCUAUAUAUGUAAUAGUCCUCAACUUGUUUGCAUGUUUUACUAAAUUUCAAUUGAUAACUACCCCCAUUUUGAGUCCUCAACUUGUUUGCUAUAUAUGUAAAAGUCCUCAACUUGUUUGCUCAACCUCGUCAUCUGAAAGACCACAGAGUUCAUCGGAACCAUCUGAUGUAAAAUCUUCAUUAGCAACUGACCGGUACACGCCAACAAAUUUACACAUAGUGUAUACCUGAGCAUUAUCAGUUGCUUAAAGUAGAGUGACUGCAAAAUCAAAACAUGCUUGCUAUAUAUAUAAUAGUCCUCAACUUGUUUGCACGUUUUACUAAAUUUCAACUGAGAAUUACCCCCAUUUUGAGGA